rnacentral:lncRNA from 1 species
GCCAUAUGUCAUCGAUAUUUCAAUGGGUUGAUUAGUGUCACUAGCUACACCUAUGUAGAGGUGGAGCACACUACUAAUACGCGAUACUCAACACAUGAAUGUCUGCUUCAUACAAAUCUAUAUGAUCUCUUUGCAUUUCAUGCGUGCGGCUUGGGAGGCACCGGGAAUUCAAGAUGUGCCAAAGCAUUGCGUUGCACUUGAAAAAUGCAAAGCGGCCGUGGUGAUACAAAGGGAUCUUGCAUAUGUGUCAUUUUUUUUUCAUGUUGGACAUCUAGAUCACCUGUCCAUUUCUUCUUCUGGUGCCAAGGCUGAGAAGCAGCACCACUGGAUAUACUUGCAGAAGCUGAAAAUGAGCUUGCAACACAAGAGACAUUGACAAAUGCCAGGUGCCGAUCUGCCAAAACCGAGAAGCUUAACAAUGUUUACCUGCUUAAUUGAUUAGGCUGAAUUGGAAGGUGCCAUGAAUGUUAAAACCUGAAAGUUUGACAGGGCAACCGAUCCACAAUACUAGCUGAGCUCUUCCAUGGAUUUACACAAUGUUUUGCAGUCAUUAAUCCUUGCAUCAGGCGCUUCAUUAUUAAUAUGUCCAAGUGCUUCGAUGUUUUAUACAAAAAAACACAGAUAAACUGAAUUUUGAGGGUAAUGUCGACUGAAUGAUGUAUUUCUGCUGCUUGCCAAUUAAGCUACCUUUAUUUUCAGAUUUAGAAUGCCUUCUUAGUUCUCAAUCUACUUUUAGAC